CUACAGUAAAACAUCCCCGAGGGAGUCAUAGAAGCUAGCUCAGAUAAUUAAAAGCACUAGUAUCAAUCCUUGUGGGAGAAAGAUCAGCAACCUUGCCCAUGAGGAGCUGAGCAACCUGAGAACCAAUAUUAGAUUAGAUGGACCUCCUGAAUUUGCUUUGUUGCUGUACCUUAUCAAAGCCAAGGAGUGAAAAGGAGCCAUAUAGCUUCUCUGUGGGCAAAGCUGAACAAUACAGAUCAGGCUGCCCUAUAGAUAUUGAAUAAGACUCAAAGGUAAUGUGGGGUGGAGCCACAGGCCUGGAGAUGUCCAAUCUGAAGAGCAAUUCCCACCUCUACUCCACCAUUUCCAAAGGGAGGUGAAGGUGAAGGCCAGUGUGCACACAGCUAUUCAUGUGUCUUCAUUAGGAGGUGAGCUGAACCUUUAGUGUUUUGGGGCUUUUUGACUUUGAAAUUUGCCAGUUUUGCACCAUACAGAGAGGAGUCAAAUGGCCUUCUAAAAUUUUCCAAAUCCCUCUGAGCUGUCUGGCUUUUAAUGUAUCAACUACCAAGAUAUCCUACUAUCUCUAGAUCAGUGGUUUUUAAUUUUUCCCUCUUUUACAUUCCAAAUUAGAAACAGUUUGGAAAAACUUGAGAGGCACACAUGCAGAGAAAAUCAAUAAGAUGGAUCCAAGGCUUCUCCCUGAAUGAGAUCUGAUGGCUGGGCCUCUCUGACUUGGAUCAGUUCUUUCCUCUUGGGUGUGUGGCACUCUCCAGAUGAGGAGGAACUGUUGUUUGGAGAACAUGAGUGGUUUCUCUAUCUAUCACCCACCUUGGCCCAGAAGGCACUUAGCAGGAGAGGUAUGGGAGACAGUUGGGAAUGAGUCUGAAAAAAUGAAAGGACCCAAGACCCCAGAGUCAUAUUUUUUAAGCCUUAAAGUUAAAACAUGGUUUGGCACAUGUGUAACAAUAGGACAGAAAAUAUGGAACUAGAAAAUUCAAUUUGCAGAAUCUAAAAUGGGAUUUGAGAGUUAGCUGUGGCUGAGCUGGUCUGGAACUCUGAUCACCUGUUUAUAUGAAGGGUGGGUACAGGACCUUUCCUGGCCACACAACAUGGGAGGCCAUACUCUACAUAUGGUAGAGUGCCUUAGCAGAGGAGAGAAGAACAGACUGAAAGAUGGGGGUAUGGCAGACUGUCAGUUUUCCCUGGGCCUCCAUGCAGGAAGAGAGCGUAUACAAAAAGCCAACAAACUGAGGAUACUCUAGAAACAUCACGGCUGCCCUGGAGCCCGUGAAGAAGCAUGGGAUGCCCCAUUCUCUCUCCACAUGAAACCCAACGCAGCUCUUGUAUCAUCAUGAGGUGGUGCCUGUGCUGGGAACACUGACAUUCUUCAAGGCACAGCAGGAGCAACACUCACCUUCACCUGAGUGGCCCCAGGUCUUGGGGCUCGGUCAACAGUUUAAGGGUGUAGGGCCUGCGGGAGAAGGAUUCAAGGGCAGAAAGAUUCAAGGUUACUAGUGUCUUUGUAGUCUCAACAGGGAAACCACAUUUUUUUAAAGGACUCUGCAUAGCCACAGAGACAUUUUCUUUUGAACUUAAAAUUGGGUCAUAUGAUGGGUGACAUGGUUGGAUAAUAGGGUAGUGUAUCUAAAUUCAGGACUGGCCUAGAAAAAAAAAAACUGCCAAAGCAGUGCCAGAUGCGCCUGAUUGAAGGUUUCAGUUGAUGAGAUUCCUGGCUAUGCACACUUGUUUACCCAGCCUAUUGUCUAAGCAGAACGGGGACCCUCAGACUGCUUUAUAAAACCAGCAGGAGCCUUGCCAGCCAGCUGCUGGCUUUGCAUCAUAGUGUGAUCUAAGGUUUUGAGGAGGUUGGGUCAAAGAGGUCUAUUUAGAAUGCAAAUGAUUGCUUAAACUCUCUUAAAGGCUUUAAGAAUGUAUUUUAAUCAUCGAAUCUCCCCCUAAGCUCAGCAUCAUAUUCAUGAAUAAAUUGUUAUGCCUUUGAUUCGACAGAAAUUGGGUAGACUUGCUGAAUUAAUGAACUUUUCUUUUCUUCUGGUCUUUCUCAGAACCAUAGCAAUGAACACUCCUGUUAGCUUUGUGAAAUGCAGAUGAAGUAUAAUUUUCCAAAAUUGAUCUGUUCUACAUCACUGAAUUUCAGCUAUUUGCAUUUUUAUGCCAGAAUCAAAUUUAGCUUAUUAUUAUUAUUGUUGUGGAAAAUAAUUAUAAUCCCUUCAUUGUCAUGGUACUUGACAAUUAAAAAACCCCACCAGUCUUCUUUAAUUCCUCCUUCCCUCUAACCCUGAGGUCUAAACGGAGUUAGAUUAUCACCCAGGCUUUGAAUUCCCAAACUAGCCCUUGUUUCCAGAUGGUCAGUUGAGGUUCUCAAAGGUUACAUGACUUUCUCUGAAGUAUGUCAUUGAAAGUGGCUCUGCCCAUCCCUAGGUCUGGCCUUAUCAAGGUCUGCAAGGUGGGUUCAGUCAUCUUCAAGCUGCAGCGUCCUCUGAGAAUGAGGGCUGUGGGGCCUGGCACAGGGAUGGUGCUGAUGUGGCUAUUUCUCCUCCCAUCCCUAGGUGAUUUCAGAUUCUAUUCGGGGUGUUGAAGUCCAGUAGUGCUAGAUUCUGACCAAUUCUGACCAAACAAGCUUUUUUUUCAACCAGCCUGAAGAUCCAGGCCUCAAGUCACACUACACGAACAAAUACAUACAAAUACAUGCAUGUGGACAUUCGUGUGUGUGGCAGAGGCUAACUCCUCUGAAUUCCAAAUCAGUAGCAGGUUAAAAGGAAAUGCUUUUUCCCAUCAGUGGCUAUUCUGUUCUCUAAAAUCAGGCCCUCCCUUGUUCCUAGGGUCUAAACUUUGCAAUGCCCGAGUACUUGAUUUUCAUUUCUCAGUAGCUUCUGCCUGUCUCAUACACAACCCUGUGUCCUCCAGCCCUUAGGCCCCUGCUUGGUGUGUUCUCACCUCUUUAGAGAUCGUAUUGCCCUAGGAUGGUUUGUAUUUGGUCCUCAUGCUUCCUUAGCAAGCUCAGUCUAAGUGGGGUAGUAUGGGAUUGCUAGAUGUCAGUGCUACAGACUGUCAUGCUGCCCCGCUGGAACUUACCUCUGAUGUCACCUGGUCUAACCUACUACAGGAGAUGUUUCCAUUUGUGUGGUAGGACAUCUGGAUCAAACAUGCCUUGAGUAUAGAUGUACACCCAACUCUGGAAAGAAUCAGAAGUACGGUACAAGCUCUCUGGGGAAAGGACACCACAUCAAUAAAUAACAGAAGACUUACUUGG
rnacentral:lncRNA from 1 species